rnacentral:piRNA from 1 species
GUAUGACAAAGUAGAGGUAGUAGAA